AGAGUUGUGGCUCAAUGGUAGAGUGCUUGCCUGGCAUGCAUGAGGCCCUAUGUUCGAUCCUCAGUGGCACAU
rnacentral:tRNA from 1 species